GAUGAAGAACGUAGCGAAAUGCGAUAAGUAAUGCGAAUUGCAGAAUCCGUGAGUCAUCGAAUCUUUGAACGCACAUUGCGCCCCCUGGUAUUCCGGGGGGCAUGCCUGUCCGAGCGUCAUUGCAACCCUCAAGCGCGGCUUGCGUGUUGGGCGCCGUCCCCCGUGGACGCGCCCGAAAGGCAGUGGCGGUACCGUGCUCCGGUGCCCGAGCGUAUGGGCUUAAAACCCGCUCUUGUGGCCCGGCCGGCGCUGGCCUCGACCCCCAACUUUACAAGGUUGACCUCGGAUCAGGUAGGGAUACCCGCUGAACUUAAGCAUAUCAAUAAGCGGAGGA
rnacentral:misc_RNA from 1 species